GACGAACGCUGGCGGCGUGCUUAACACAUGCAAGUCGAACGGAAAGGCCCUGCUUUUGUGGGGUGCUCGAGUGGCGAACGGGUGAGUAACACGUGAGUAACCUGCCCUUGACUUUGGGAUAACUUCAGGAAACUGGGGCUAAUACCGGAUAGGAGCUCCUGCUGCAUGGUGGGGGUUGGAAAGUUUCGGCGGUUGGGGAUGGACUCGCGGCUUAUCAGCUUGUUGGUGGGGUAGUGGCUUACCAAGGCUUUGACGGGUAGCCGGCCUGAGAGGGUGACCGGCCACAUUGGGACUACGAUACGGCCCAGACUCCUACCGGAGGCAGCAGUGGGGAAUAUUGCACAAUGGGCGGAAGCCUGAUGCAGCAACGCCGCGUGCGGGAUGACGGCCUUCGGGUUGUAAACCGCUUUCGCCUGUGACGAAGCGUGAGUGACGGUAAUGGGUAAAGAAGCACCGGCUAACUACGUG
rnacentral:rRNA from 1 species